UGGGGAAUAUUGCACAAUGGGCGCAAGCCUGAUGCAGCCAUGCCGCGUGUGUGAAGAAGGCCUUCGGGUUGUAAAGCACUUUCAGCGGGGAGGAAGGCGGUGAGGUUAAUAACCUCACCGAUUGACGUUACCCGCAGAAGAAGCACCGGCUAACUCCGUGCCAGCAGCCGCGGUAAUCCGGAGGGUGCAAGCGUUAAUCGGAAUUACUGGGCGUAAAGCGCACGCAGGCGGUCUGUCAAGUCGGAUGUGAAAUCCCCGGGCUCAACCUGGGAACUGCAUUCGAAAGUGGGAGGCUAGAGUCUUGUAGAGGGGGGUAGAAUUCCAGGUGUAGCGGUGAAAUGCGUAGAGAUCUGGAGGAAUACCGGUGGCGAAGGCGGCCCCCUGGACAAAGAAUGACGCUCAGGUGCGAAAGCGUGGGGAGCAAACAGG
rnacentral:rRNA from 1 species